ensembl:rRNA 5S_rRNA 5S ribosomal RNA
UACUGCCAUACCAACGGGAAGGCGCCCAAUCUCGUCUGAUCUCGGAAGAUAAGCUGUGUUGGGCUGUUAUGCCCAGACCGUUUGUUCCCCAAAGAAGACCACCAGAGUCCAGAGUCAAAGCCAAGCGGCAA